rnacentral:rRNA from 1 species
UACGGAGGGGGCGAGCGUUGUUCGGAGUUACUGGGCGUAAAGCGCACGUAGGCGGUGCGGUAAGUCAGGGGUUAAAGGCUGCAGCUCAACUGCAGUAAGGCCUUUGAUACUAUCGUGCUAGAGUGUCAGAGAGGAUGGCGGAAUUCCCGGUGUAGCAGUGAAAUGCGUAGAGAUCAGGAGGAACACCGAUGGCGAAGGCAGCCCUCUGGGCCUGUACUGACACUGAGGCGCGAAAGCGUGGGGAGCAAACAGG